UACGAAGGGUGCAAGCGUUAAUCGGAAUUACUGGGCGUAAAGCGUGCGCAGGCGGUGACCCAAGUCAGAUGUGAAAUCCCCGGGCUUAACCUGGGAACUGCAUUAGUGACUGUAUAGCUAGAGUGCGGCAGAGGGGGAUGGAAUUCCGCGUGUAGCAGUGAAAUGCGUAGAUAUGCGGAGGAACACCGAUGGCGAAGGCAGCCCCCUGGGAGUAACACUGACGCUCAUGCACGAAAGCGUGGGGA
rnacentral:rRNA from 1 species